CCGACCUUAGCUCAGUUGGUAGAGCGGAGGACUGUAGUGUCGCAGAUAAAUCCUUAGGUCGCUGGUUCGAAUCCGGCAGGUCGGA
rfam:Hordeum vulgare subsp. vulgare, WGS project CAJW01000000 data, contig: morex_contig_1573237